UACGUAGGGACCAAGCGUUGUUCGGAUUUACUGGGCGUAAAGGGCGCGUAGGCGGCUUGACAAGUCACUUGUGAAAUCUCUGGGCUUAACCCAGAACGGCCAAGUGAUACUGCUGUGCUAGAGUGCAGAAGGGGCAAUCGGAAUUCUUGGUGUAGCGGUGAAAUGCGUAGAUAUCAAGAGGAACACCUGAGGUGAAGACGGGUUGCUGGGCUGACACUGACGCUGAGGCGCGAAAGCCAGGGGAGCAAACGGG
rnacentral:rRNA from 1 species